rnacentral:rRNA from 1 species
AGAGUUUGAUCCUGGCUCAGGACGAACGCUGGCGGCGGGCUUAACACAUGCAAGUCGAAGGAGAAGGGGGGUGCUUGCACCACCUGGAGACUGGCGCACGGGUGAGUAACGCGUAGGCAAUCUGCCCAUAGCAGGGGGAUAACAUCGGGAAACCGGUGCUAAUACCGCAUAAUGCAGCGGGGUCGCAUGACCACAGUUGUUAAGGGUCUUCGGACCGGCUAUGGAUGAGCCUGCGUGCCAUUAGUUAGUUGGUAGGGUAAUGGCCUACCAAGGCGAUGAUGGCUAGGGGGUCUGAGAGGAUGAUCCCCCACACUGGUACUGAGACACGGACCAGACUCCUACGGGAGGCAGCAGUGAGGAAUCUUGCGCAAUGGAGGAAACUCUGACGCAGCCACGCCGCGUGCCGGAAGACGGCCCUAUGGGUUGUAAACGGCUUUUGAUUGGGAAGAACUGCCCUGUUUCGACGGGGCUUGACGGUACCAUUUGAAUAAGCACCGGCUAACUCCGUGCCAGCAGCCGCGGUAAUACGGAGGGUGCAAGCGUUGUCCGGAAUCAUUGGGUGUAAAGGGUGCGUAGGCUGGCAUCUAAGUCUGGGGUGAAAUCUUGCCGCUUAACGGUAAAAUUGCCCUGGAUACUGGAUGUCUUGAAUCUGACAGAGGUCGGUGGAAUUCGUGGUGUA